GGACUACCCGGGUAUCUAAUCCUGUUUGCUCCCCUAGCUUUCGUGCAUCAGCGUCAGUAAUGGUCCAGUGAGCCGCUUUCGCCACAGGUGUUCCUUCCGAUAUCUACGCAUUUCACCGCUACACCGGAAAUUCCACUCACCUCUCCCACACUCAAGCCCGACAGUUUCUAAUGCAGACGAUGGGUUGAGCCCAUCGAUUUCACAUCAGACUUAUCAGACCGCCUACGCACCCUUUACGCCCAAUAAUUCCGAACAACGCUUGCCCCCCUCGUAUUACCGCGGCUGCUGGCAC
rnacentral:rRNA from 1 species